rnacentral:rRNA from 1 species
UACAGAGGGUGCGAGCGUUAAUCGGAAUUACUGGGCGUAAAGCGCGCGUAGGCGGCUUUGCAAGUCGGGUGUGAAAUCCCCAGGCUUAACCUGGGAACUGCAUUCGAGACUGCAUUGCUAGAGUAUGGGAGAGGGAAGUGGAAUUUCCGGUGUAGCGGUGAAAUGCGUAGAUAUCGGAAGGAACAUCAGUGGCGAAAGGCGGAUCCUG